UCAGACACCACUGAGAUCGUGACACAGGCCAGUGCACUUCAGGAAAUUCAAACUGACAGGAGCCCCUGCCUUCUGCUGUUGCAAAAGUGGCUUGCUGUAGCAAGACGCCAGCUCAGAGCCACGGGCUGGCUGCAACUAAAAGUUCUUGACCCUCCCUCCGGAGAAGGGAGUGCCUGGGGGGCUGAAAGCUUUGGCGGGGUUGAGAUAAACACUCAGGUUAAGGCAUUUUUCAUCUGUUUAACCAGAUCUCGUUAUAUUGUCAAACAAGACUGCAGCGCUCACAAGAAACAGCUAUGGUAUUCUUGUCGAGAGGUGGGACGAGAAGGAAGAAUUUAUUUUUUCCACUAAGGUUAAUUCCUCCGAUGCUGGGAGGCCAGGCAAAGUUUUUACUGGGAUAGAAAUGAAGGCUGAAGAGGUGAGCUCUUGGAGUCAUUGAAGGGAAGCCUGAUGGCACUUCAUAUGGCCCUGCCUUGCCAGGUGGGGAGGAAAGAGAACGUUAGUAAUAAUCUUGCCUACAUCCUAGGCAGAGAACUUCCCCCUUUUCAGGGCACCCACAUAAGUCAUCCCUAAUUGCAUAUUCCCUUGCUAUGUCGACUCUCCUUCGCUGACUCCAGGAAAAUGCCACCUUGCCUUUUAUUGCCUUUUUUUUUUAAAUAACUUCUCUUACCUUUUCCAGGUUGAGUUGAAUGUAACCAUUGCUUGGUCCUGAUGAUGCUCAAGUUAACUACAUGACCAUGCUACCCAGCCAUGAGUCCAGAUUAUACAGACCUAGUGAUGACCCAUGUGAAAAUACUUACAGUUAGUCCUAAACCAUGGUCUUACUGAAACAGACCAUCUGCAUUUUAGAAAAUCCAAAGCAAAUGUCUGUCAUUGCUUUGGAGCACGGAAUGUAAUGCAUCGUCUGUCUGUACCGCAAUUCAUCCAUUCACCUACUGAAGGGUAUCUUCGUUGCUUCCCAAAACAUCCCCUUGGUUGCUACUCUAAACAUCUGGGCAGUUUGUUUUCAACUCCUUUGGGUAAACACCAACGAGCACAAUCGCUGGACUGCAUGUGUUCGAGGGGCUCGCUGAUGAAUGUUCUGGAGUAGCCCUGACCCUGCUUAACAUGAGUUGUUCCUGUGAAGUUCCUUAAGGACACCAUGGUCUGCUCAUCUUUCUACUUCCAGAUCUGGAAUAGUUGAGACCAAACACUUCUUCACAAGCUUCCUGUUGCCAUCAGAACCGACACAUCCUGCAGAGGCUUCCGGCUCAUGGAUCAAGCGUGUGCAACAGGGGAGUCAAGUUGCAUUGAGUGCUUCCCAGAGGAGUUCUUUCUUCCUCCCUUUUUCUUCCCUUGCUGGCUUCCUUCUUGUCCCUUAUCUCUGCACCCUUCCGCACUUGCCCCAAAUCCUCAGACUUCCUCUGUAGAUGCCAAGUGAUGA